rnacentral:rRNA from 1 species
GACGAACGCUGGCGGCGUGCUUAACACAUGCAAGUCGAACGCUGAAGACCUGGCUUUUGUUGGGUUGGAUGAGUGGCGAACGGGUGAGUAACACGUGAGUAACCUGCCCUCUUCUUUGGGAUAACGCCCGGAAACGGGUGCUAAUACUGGAUAUUCACUGAUCUUCGCAUGGGGGUUGGUGGAAAGGGUUGUUCUGGUGGGGGAUGGGCUCGCGGCCUAUCAGCUUGUUGGUGGGGUGAUGGCCUACCAAGGCUUUGACGGGUAGCAGGCCUGAGAGGGUGCCCGGUCACUUUGGGACUGAGCUACGGCCCAGACUCCUACGGGGGGCGGCAGUGGGGAAUAUUGCACAAUGGGCGAAAGCCUGAUGCAGCGACGCCGCGUGAGGUAUGGAGGCCUUCGGGUUGUAAACCUCUUUCGCUCAUGGUCAAGCCGCAACUGUGGGUUGUGGUGAGGGUAGUGGGUAAAGAAGCGCCGGCUAACUACGUG